CACCCUCUCUCCUUCUCUCCAAAGUGUGGGCUCAAACAUAAGCUCUUAUGGUUUCGGCUCUUUGGGGCCAACUCUACCCGCAAUAGACGCUUUAGCUCAUCCGCAAGUGAUGCUUCAGGCUCCAUUGUUUUUCAUUUGCCGAAACACAAAUCGGAGGAGAUGGAGAUGAUAUAAGUUCGUCGGUAGUGGGAAGGCACGAAAGGUGACGGGGAGAAUGGAUACACAAUCUUGCUCUCGCUCCGCGGUUAAUUCCUCUUCAGCCGUUCUUUUUGGCCCGUUCCUUACUCCAUCCUCCGUUGACGGCCCAUUACAGUUCCUGGUUUUGCCUCUGGCACCCUUUGCGAGCCCAAAACAGCACCGUCCCAAUCCGGGGCCGCCGAUAAAGGGGCAUCUCUUUUCAAAACGGCGAAACUAGUACCUGAUUUGGGCGCUGCAGGCGUAUCCAACCUGCCACCGGCAUAUGACGGCCUUCCACACGUCGAAAAGCCCGCAAACUCCGUUGGCGCGACUCCAAUGGGCCGUAUUGGCCUCUCGUGACGGUGCUGUCAGUUGACUGAGACAUGCAGUGGAGUGCAGCGGUGCAGUGGACCGUGGUCAGCACUGCCUGUUUGCAUGCAGUAAAACAGAAUCUGAAACAUGGCUGAAAAUGCGCAUCAGGUUGGGCUAGGUGGUAGUUCGUGCUGGUACAUACAGUACGAGUACGAGUGCGAGUACGAGUUAUCGUGAUAUGACCAUAGGUGAUAAGCUUCCCCUCUGUCCACGUGAAGCUUCAACAAGUGUCUCAAAUGGUCGACUUGCCACAGGUACAAUUACGAUAGUCGGUUUUGUCGCUUUGACCGUCAAAGAUCAAUUCGUCCCCAACUUACACCGAGACCGUACAACUGUCGGGUGACGACGUAUCGUACAUAUGAUGCGUACAUCCCGGUAAUACAUACUGUACAGUUCCUGUCGUACAUACAGACCAUUCAGGCACCCCUCGCUGUAUACUACGAUACGAGUCGUGCUAACAAACAGUCAGAAUGCUAUUUGAUCUCGUGUCCAGGUCAAUCCAACAGGAUCGACCGCCACGAGCUUCAUACUCUAUCAACUAUCAUGAGGAUGGCCCCAGAUGCAUAAAUGCUGUCCACGGAGAUGCACCGGGAGCUGCAUAGUGGUGACGAUUUUCUCUAUACUAUACGGCUCAAGGGAUUUGGUGCAGUACCGAGUACACACAUUGGUGCUCACAUUGGUCUCACAUUGGUCUCACAUUCGUCUUACCGCACUACCAAUGGCGAUAGACCGCCUCAGCUUCGUGUCUACCCAUAUUGGAAAAUUAUCGCUCUGUGCGAUUAGCCAGGAACACAGUUUGGGAUCCAGGGGCUGGCGAUAAUAAACCCUGUGUGCCCCUGUCCAUUGAUAUGCGGAUAUUCUGCUAUGAAACGGUGGCUUUCCAUGAAGCGCGCGGCCAAACUCGCAUCUCGAUGCGGGCUCUGAUUGAACAUGGCACCAUACAUUGCACUUCUCAUGGGAGUGCAAGACAAGAACGGAAACGGUACUUGUACCAUAUCGUACCUUGCUCAGUCAAAUGACUCACUGUGGAGAAAAAGUGGUGCUACUUGCACUGCUUUGACACAAGGGCAUUGACAGUUGACAGUUGACAGAUGGAUGCAGCACUAAUGAUGUAUUGAUGGUACGAGUGUGGGGAAAUGGAGAUGGUGGAAUGGGAAUGGACGAGGCGCGGAAAGAUUCAGGAACUACGGACAUUGAAUCAAAGAUUCGCUUGUUUUUGCGGGGUCUUUGCCGCCCCCGAAUCAUCUCCAUCUACAGAGCUUUCUGCAGCGUUUUCCAUUUCCAAGACAUGCAUAAUGUGUCCGAAAAGGACAUGUAUCGCCGAAGAGGCGAAGAGGAGUAAUUAAUUACGUCGCACGUGUCGAACAUACGAUGCCGCGUAUUUGGUGAUGUGAGCUCUACGCUCAUUGGUGGUCCUACUCCUAUUCACACAGUACGCACAGUCCUGCCCCCAACGCUUACAGUAGUUAAGACUUAGUUGGGGGAUAGUUGGAUAAAAAGUGUGCUAGGGGUUGCUAUUGGAUGUUACAGGAAUGGGACAGUUAUAAGAAAAUACCCAGCUGAUAAAGGACGCCAAUCUAACCAAAUAUGCACUCAAAUUCCCUCACUGAAGUUCAAGUGUGUUGAGAUGUUACGAAACCGAUCUCACAAUAUUUGAUGAGGUUAUAGUUGGGUUUUACUGGAGCACUAGGUAGUUCUGACAGCGUGGGUCUCUCUAUUUCCUAGAACGACUACAUCCGAAACCAGCACAUUUGUCUCCAAAAUGGCUUAAUACGGGAUGAAUAUUCAACUGCGAACGGUCGGCUUAUUCUCAGCCGGGGAUCCACACUCGUAUUGUUCUUUUUGGGUACUCUGUUUCGGUUGUCAAGAUUGCUGGAGAGGUCACUGCGACAGAGAAGCACUAUGUACUACAAAAUGUGCUUGUUGUACAACUCGAAGCGCUGACACGACGGAAUGGAACAGCCAACCCAUCAUUGAAGAAUAUCUAUGGGAGAGCAAGGUCAGCAGUUGGCAUUCUGAAGUACCUGUGCUCCUGUUGGAAUGGGCCUCAUGAAGCAACACAAGGACACUGACUGACUACGAUGAGAUGAGACAAUUGGUGGUACGAAAAGGACAGGUACUCACAAUCACCCGAAAAUGGAACAUGGAACUGAGAGUUCGACCUUGAAGUACCACUAAUCUGGAGACUCAACAAGUGGGGUAAGCAAAGCACAUCCAAUGCCAUGGUGGUCUAUUUGCUAUCAAGAUUCACGAGCCCUUCCUGUUUUCAACAAUAUUCAACGACCAGUGGCUAGAGUGUGCGACCGCAACCACCUCUUCCGAGAAAUUCCCACUAGCAACCAACAUUGGAGAGCUGCAAGUUCCCGACAACGGGAAAUACUGUGUCAGCGUCACUCACACACGUCCAACAAAUGAGUACAACAACAGUGAAUGGACCGACUUCCUAAUCUGCUCUAGAUUCUUGCCUAUUAAAGCCCCAUCCCUAGGUCUGAACUGAGAGUUUAACAGAGUACGGCUUCAACUACCGGUAACAUAGCCCUGCACACGCCUCACCGCUAGCACUGUAGCUGUCAGAGAGAGCACAGCCGAUAUUCGCGCUCUAAAUGCCGCCAGUGUACGGUAGCGAUCCAUGGAAAGUCUUAGUCUCCAAUAUCCAACAUAGCAGCCUAUGGCAGCCCAAUCUUGCACUGUUUUCGACUACUUUCCCCAGUCAUGUGUCUCAGACUAAGACAUGGUAGAAAGUAUCACCGACUAUUGAGGCAGGAGUCGUACGGAAUGAUACCAGUAGAGUGGUCAGGAGUGAUGGGGUCUAGAUGGUUGAUUCAAGAGGAUUUGAAGUCUUUGUUGCUGUAUUUUAGCAGUGAAUAGUAGUGCUUACAUCAUAGCUGCGAAUGGGCAACUCUUAGCGACAUGUAUAACGUACCCCACAAACACGUAGACAAACAAACAAAC
rnacentral:misc_RNA from 1 species